rnacentral:rRNA from 1 species
GGUAAUGCCGGAUGCUCCGACUCCUCGCAUGGGGUGUCGGGAAAGAUUUCAUCGGUAUGGGAUGGGGUCGCGUCCUAUCAGGUAGUCGGCGGGGUAACGGCCCACCGAGCCUACGACGGGUAGCCGGCCUGAGAGGGCGACCGGCCACAUUGGGACUGAGAUACGGCCCAGACUCCUACGGGAGGCAGCAGUGGGGAAUAUUGCACAAUGGGCGCAAGCCUGAUGCAGCGACGCCGCGUGCGGGAUGACGGCCUUCGGGUUGUAAACCGCUUUUGAUCGGGAGCAAGCCUUCGGGUGAGUGUACCUUUCGAAUAAGCACCGGCUAACUACGUGCCAGCAGCCGCGGUAAUACGUAGGGUGCAAGCGUUAUCCGGAAUUAUUGGGCGUAAAGGGCUCGUAGGCGGUUCGUCGCGUCCGGUGUGAAAGUCCAUCGCUUAACGGUGGAUCUGCGCCGGGUACGGGCGGGCUGGAGUGCGGUAGGGGAGACUGGAAUUCCCGGUGUAACGGUGGAAUGUGUAGAUAUCGAAGAGA